rnacentral:lncRNA from 1 species
UCCAUGUUGCUGCAGAAGCUAUAAUUUUAUUCUUUUGAAUGCUUUAAGCGUUCCAAAUCAUUGAAUUACUGAGAAGAUUAAAUGAGGGUAAAACAAUCCUUGAUACAUACCAACCAUCCAAUAAGAUUUGGCUGCAAUCACUACUUGUCAUCAUCAGUGACUGUAACAGAAGCAUGAAGACCAUAGCAAAGAGUCUGGAUACAGUGAAACAAGAAAUCGAGAGCCUUGUUAUUUCCUGCCUAAGUUCUUUCUGGCUGUAAGUCUCUGAUGUUGGCAAGUGACAGACCCCUAUGGCCAAUGAAUCACAACUUAAAUGAGUACCAAGUUCCCAGCUGAUAUGUGAAAAGGAGCUCAGUGAGAGGUACUUAUGUCCUUUGUGUACUUAAAAUAUUGCCCUUAAUGAAUAAGUCCGUGUGUUCAUUUUUAUUACAAAAGUAGCAGACCUAUCUUACUUUCAAUAUUACAAGGACAAUGCUUGCAAAGAUGAACAAAGGACGUUUAAAGAUACAGGGUCUGAAAGCUUCCGAAAGCCACAUAGUGAGAGAUAUUAAAACAAGUUGAGAGAAUUUGAUGUCAAAGGCAAGAUCAUAUCUGAAGCAUUUCUCAACACUGUAUAAAAUGCAAAAACAAAGAGAAACAAAACUCCUUGGAGAAGUUUCUGCUCAAUACGCAAGCCACCGACCCUUAGCGAAUGUUCCCAAUAGCAAUCAAUGAGCCCCUAACAAGAGCUGGAAGGACUGGGGCAGUAGGAACAACACAGACCAUUUGCUCUGAUUCAACGAUUUUUAUGAGCACCAUUAAGUGAAAAUGGGCAAGUAACUCUGUGGCUCAGGGCAAAGCCCCCACAGCGAUGUGAUGAAAAAUCUUGGCAAGAACCCAUGAAAGAGAACCCUUCAAAUCAAAUCAAACAAAUGCGGAUCUACUAGGAGGAAGGGCCUUGUUUUUCAUUUAAAAUAAUCUUUUAAAGAGUAGACAAUAAUCCAAACACCUCUGGGUUACUAUAUCUUCUAGGAGAAUACUGAUUUUGAUAAAAAUAUUUAAAUCAAAAAUUUUAGGUAAUUUUACCUUCAAAUAGCUUAGGCACCUUAGACCAAAGUUUGCACAUUCUACAAAUAUUGACACAAUAACACCAUUUUAAAUCUUUACCCACCAUUUGUUGGGUUAUGUCAAAUGUAACUCAGGAUAAAAAGUUGUUCAGAUAAGUGAUUGGUACAAUUGGAAUUUAUAGAUUAAAAAUUUGUUACAAGGAAUUAAAAGUUUUUCUUACCUAACCUCUCAAUAAUUUUCCAAAGAAAAUGUGUGAUGUGUCCCUUGCUCUGCCCUUCACUCUAGUGUUUUAUUUUGCAUCAUGGAUGCAUUUCUUUUAAUUUUCUUCAUAUAACUCUUCACAUGUACUCUUGAGAUUGCAUAUUGCUUCAACAAUCCUUGCCCAGCCACUAACUUCUUUCUUAAAAUAAUUUUCCUGCCCCCCUUCCUUCAACAGUAAUCAAUGUCUACCACCGCCUCUAUUAAUUCUGCCACUGAUUUUGUGAUAACUCUUCACAAAUACUGAAUGAUGUAACUUGAAGGCAGUUUUUGUUGUCUGAAUCUGCUUGAUGCCAGCUUAUGGUUGGCUAUAAUGCUCAGAAAUAGAAGCAAUGAUUAGACAAUACAAAGAGAUACUAGUUUAAUGUAAGGAAGAAUAUUUUCAUCCUUAUCACUUACUGUAUUUACUUUAUAUUCCACAUUACAAGGAGCCACUUCAACAUGAACACCAAGCCAUCUUAAGUUUAUUAAGAUCCUAAUAAUGUUUAAGCAUUGGUUAUGUGAAUAUAGAAUGAUGAUCCCACUUUGGAUUUUACAUUCAAGUAUAAGAAAUAUCUAUUAAUCAACUUCUUUCAGGAGUGUUACAGAUGGUAGAGUCUGUUUCAACUUUGGGUGCAGGGCUUAACACAUUCUUUAACACAAUAAAUCAACAUUACUGAGAAACAAAGUAAUUAUAAGAACUCUUCUAAUUCUAGGAAUCAAUGAUUUUAUAUCAAUCAUAUGGAAAGAGGUAAAAGUGCAUGCUUCAUGUUAUGUUACUUUCUUUUGCUUGAGAAUGCUAAAUUUGUAAAACUAUAUAAUAUGACAUACUUGUGACUGAAUUGUAAGAGAUUUUAUCUAAUAUUGCUUUAGAAUACAGAAGUAAUUGUUUCAAAGGAUAAAGGAUGGAAGAUUCUGAUAAAGCUUGCUUACUUUUUGGGGGAAGGCGUGGGGGGAAAUGUCUCAGUGCCCAAGGUCAGUGGCCUUCCUGACUGAAGACUUUCCCAGAGUAGAGGAUAAGAGUGGGAACAGGAAGAGCAGUUUAAAGUCAUCUUCACAACAUUCUGGUGAGUGACUGAUUGCUUCAGCAGCAAACAGGCACAUGGUAAAAAUAUUGGUAAUGUGAAUUUAGUGUUGUUACUGUCAUUUUUUUCUUUAUUAACUAUGAUUUUGCUUACAGAUAGCAGUCAGAGUAGUAGUAUAUUGAUAAUAAUGAACCUCUUAGGGUUGCUGGUUUGGUGUUUCAAAGUUUUUCAGUUAUCCAUAUUAAACUUUUAAAGAUA